CCCUGCCUCCAAGUUUGUAGGAAACAGCAAAUGAUUAUAUAUUCUUUGGCCUUCAGGGCCCAGGAAGUGAAGCAAUAUAGCCGUCUGCUUUGCAGGAGUAAAAUCACGGGUCUGUACAAGUGAAUGGGUAAUUGCAGAAAUAGGACCGCCACUGUUUCCACGGAAGAGCAGGUUCUCGUGGGCUGGAGCAGAAGAAAAAAUGAUGGCGGGAUUUGAGCCAUGCUGCUGCAGUAGCCAUCCAGUGAACAACAGAGUCCAGGAUUGAUGAGGGGAAAGUCCCUUCAAGGGUUGUGCAGAUCAGGAAGCUGGAGAAACAAUCAGCCGCAGCGGUAUUAGAAUGCAGCAAUUCAGGAAUAAGCAAGCUUUGGAGGCUCACACACACAGCUGGUUCAAAAUCUCGUUGCCAAAUGUUUUAUAGCUGUUUCCCUCAUAAACGCAAAGCAAACUUAUGUUUGUUUAAAUAAGCUUUAUUCAGAUACAAUUCCAUUUUUCUCCUCCUCUUCCCUCCCUUUCCUUUCUGACUCCACCCCCAACACUCUCUACGGAAUCCUCACUAGGACAAACUUCUAAUUAACAAAACAAAAAGGACUGAAGACAGAAUACAGCACCUCCACCCCCAUAAUGUGUGUUUGUGAUCUGAAGAUAAAGAAGCUAGCUAUAGGUUUUGUAAAAAUAUGAAUUUAUCCAUUGUAAAACUGAACAAACGCUUUCACUGAAGCAAGGAAUGCUGCACUUAAGGAACUGGAAACCUUUUAAAAAAAACAACUGUCAAAAUAAUUUCCACUAAAUGAGCUAGAUGUAAAUAAGACAGAAAAAAGCGUAGCUACACAGAACGUACUAUAUGCAAAUAUCAGGCAGAACAAAGAUGAAUAGGAUGAAAACAACAGGGUUGGUAGCCCCUUAAGUGGAAAUGAAGCUUGUAAAACUUCAAGUAAACAGCAUUAUUUCUGGGAAACAUAAAAAUUAAGCUAAAACAACAUGAUAACAAUGAUGCAUUUGAGACCAUCUCGUAAGAAUCCAUUUUUAAGGAACUUUGUAAAAAGCUUUUUGAAAGACCAGGUAUACUAUGUCAAUUGGAUCACCUUUAUCCACACACCUGCUGACACUCUCAAAGAACUCCAAA